AACAUAAAGAAGGUUAAAAAAAGAAAAGAAUAGCUUACUAGAGUGUAGUAUAACAAGUUCUAGCUAUUUUCUUGAACAGUAGCACAUUUGGUGCAAGUUGAAGACAUUCUAGGUAUUGCUGUUUGUAUUUUCUUGUUCUGUGUUUGCUUUGUUUGACUGUGGUUUCUUGUGAUUUCUUGUGAAAGUUUUGUCAUAAUUGAACACAGCUCAGGGUUUUACUUUUCAUAGCUAUUUUCUACUUUCUUUCUGAUAUUUUGUUGGGUUUUUUCUUUGUUUUUUGCAUGAAAAUGUAAGUUCUUUUUCCCCAUUUUCUUUUUUUGGGCCAAGGAGGGUGAGUGAUGUGGUGGUAAGAGGGGCCAGUUGGGGGGUCUUUUGUUUAAUUCUUUCAAAAUUAAUGUGAAGAUAAUGUUUGAUAGAAUCUUAUUGGGAAGACAAAGUGUGUGAAUCACCUUCAGCAGAGUGGGAAAAAAGGUGAAGAAAUUUAAGAGAGGAUUUUGAAGGAUGAAUGAUAGCUCAGCUAGAGAAAUGAAUGAGAGACAACCUCAAAGGCCUUGUGGUUGUGUGGUCAUUUUCUUUCAGCUUUUUGAUCGGAACCGUAGAUUUUCCAAGAAGCUGUUUCCAAAGAAACUACUUUCACUAGGUUAGGUACUACUACAUUCCACUCAUUUUAAAAGCAGAAUGGUUAAUUUCUGGAAGGUGAUUCUAGCUAGAGGGCUAAAUUAUUUCUUUUUUUUGGCUGCAUUCUUAUAUCUUGCUUGAAACAAGCUUCAAAAAAGUUUGGAGGGGAGGAGAAGCAACCAAAGCUUUGUUUGUGUAGAUUGCUGAUGAGAACAGUGGGGGUUUUCCAAAUGCAAAGAAUAAUGGAAUGACCGAUACAGGUUGUGAAAUCAAGCGCGAAAUGAAAGGUCCAAGUUUGGUUUCUAGGCACAUGGGUUUGGAAUCGAUGCCAGCAGGAUCAGGCAGUAAGCCCCAAAAGGCUUCAGCUUCUGAAACUUGGAACAAUGUGGCAGACAAACUUGGUGCUCGACCUGGCGGAUCUGAUAAAGACGAUAUGGAUUUUGAGAUGGCCAAAAUAAAGAGUUCAUAACUAGGUUUGCAAAGGUUUAGAGCUAAAUGUGCUCUCACUUAUCCUACUAGAUAUUUUUCUCAUUUGGAAGAUGAAGCAGAUUUAGUUGGGAAUUCACUUGAUCACCAUUCAACUGACAGCUACCUCACCAGCAGUCCCAAUAAUAGCUCAAAGGACAAAGUGCUUGCUGAAUCAGUGGACUCUGUUGAUGAUGAACCACUCUUUCCCGAACC